GGUAUGACCUCUCCCCUCAAAAAACUAUGCCAGUGCUGGAGUCUGAGAUGGAGAAGAGGCUACUUUAUUCUGUCUAUAUCAGACCUAGAGGGUUAGGGGAGAAACUUGUAUCUUAACCUACCAUGACAUUAAAUUUGAAGAAAUUUUUGCGUCAAGAGGGGACAACAGGAUAUGAUUUUUUGUUGAGGCAGCUGCAAACACGACCAGCAAGAUAGCAGCUGAAAAGUGCAGAAGAGAACAUGUUUACUCCGAUGGUAGACGGGUUAAUUUAGUCAAGGCAAUGAAGCAUCUGAAACAAGAGCAGUCAAUGGCUGAUAGUGGUGUGAAGUCAUAGAAGGUGGUUUAAGGAGAAAAUGGACAAUAGUUGAAAGUUGCAAGGAGAGUAAGGAACUGUGAAAAGACAUGGGAUUUGGCAAGAGAUCAGGAGUGAAUUCAUGGGUUUGGAUUCCACCAGAUAUGCAGAUCAUCCCAAAAGCAGACGUAAAAGAGUACUUAUGAAAGUUCCACGCAUAAAGGACAGGUUUUGUUUGUUUUUUUAUUUUUUUGAUUUUGAGGGUAGAGUGAAAAAUUUGAAGGAACAAGGUCCUAGUAGACCAACUACUAUAUACCAGAUGCAUGUUACUCACUGAGAAUUGAAAUGCAGAAGUCUUAGAAGUCAUCUUGGAUAUUUCCCCCAUCCUUGUUCACUGUUUCCAGAAGUAGUAGACAGACCUGGGUUCGUUCCUCAACUCUGCCACAAGUUCUCAAUAGCUUCAUAUGGCCAAUGACUAUCAUAUUGACAGCACAAGAAUCACCGUACAAAGCUCUGAUGGACACCACUGAAUCCUGUAUUUCUAGGUGCAUAUGUGUACUUUUUGGGGACAGGGUCUAACUGAAGACACAGGUUACUGACCUUGACAAAGACUAGCCUGCCCCAUACUUUUGGAAUUGGUACCCAAAAUGUAAAUUUUGUUUUGUUUUGUUUUGUUUUGUUUUGUUUUCAAAAUGUAAAUUUUGAUUUAAUACAUUAAAAAAAAUCCACACUACUCACUUCUUUUGGAAAACUGAAAAA